UCUUAAGCUGCGCCGGAGGCCGCUGGGAGCCACGAGGGUGCUCCGCAGGCACACUGCUCGCGGGAGUAACGCGGCGGGCUCUGUUCCAAUAUCCUGUCCUUGCGCUGCUGGCGCUAGAAAGCCCCGCGAUGGGCUGUUUUUAGAAGGAGGCCUUGGGAUUCUGUGUAACGCUCUCCGUGUGUUGUUUCGUUUCAGGCUCUGGUGAGAUGUCUCUCGGUGAAGAUCAGCCCGAACCGGCUGAGCGAAAGCUGCAGCAGAGCCUGUCGUCGUCCCGAACCGGUGAGAUAGUCGAAGUGGUGAGUAGUUUGGGGGUCACUGGUAAGUUAGCUGUUGUUGGGGUUGCGUAGAGCCGCUACUCGGCCGCUCCUGUUUCUUCGGGAUCAGCACGGCGCCGCCGACGGGCUCCACGUGGCCGUAUUAGAAGGGCCGGCGCGGGGCGCCGCCGAAGGGUUUUGCGGGUGCUUCAACCCCUUCUGCUUCCAGCGGUGGGCGCGAGCAGAAUGGUACCACACUUUCCCUGCCCCUUAUUCGUAACUUCAGGCGUGUGAUUUCAUUCCCAUUACAGAGAUGCGGUGGGACAGCUUGGAUGACUGGAAUGCUGUUGUGGAUGGCUGAGUUCCUUAUAGGAGAGACAGACGGGUGAGCUGGUCUUCCGGUGAGAGAACUAGAUCAUACUGAGCCCACUCCCUGCACCCCCUUGGAGGCUGUUCAUGGAGCUCUUUCCACAGGGUUCAGGGCCAGAGUGGGGAUCCUGCUGCGAGAGUCUAUGGAACGAGCUCUAAAGGUGUGUGGCUGGCCUGCCUCUGGAGGAAUGAAAUUUCCUGAGGGAGAGGUGAGAAGAGCAGCCUGCAGGGCUCCAGCGACUGUUACCUGGGGGAGCUUGGGGUCUUGGUGCUGUUUCUUGUAGCGUUGUUUCCGUUGGUGAGGUCCAUUGCCCCUGAGGUGUGUUUGUCCCUCAGGUCCUGGUGCAGCUGGUGUCCUGAGAGGAAAGUCCUUCGUCCUGGGCUGGGAGCUGUACUGCAAACGUGGGAGAAGCGGAGUAGAUUGCCCAGGUAGGCACUGUUUGUAGUAGUGUGUUCUGGAGGUGGUCCUUGGCUAGAUCGCCAGUGCCCUUGGUGAGCGUAUGUUGUUCUUCCUUGUCCCCAGAGUCCCUGUUUGGAUCCUGUAGAGGGGGUGGCUUUUGCUACUGCACAAAGUGCUCUUGUGCAGCAGCAUGACUGUAGGUUGCCGAGAGAAAUGGGGGACGAGAGUUCAAAGAGGGGGGCAGAGAGUGGGUCCCCAGGGCAGUGCCUGCUGUAAGGCCUUUAGGAAGUGUUUUGAAAAAUUGGAAGAGAAAUUCUAGAACGAGGGAUAAAUAUAAACAGAGAAUGGUUAGAUAUUGUGGUGUUGUAUGGCCUGAACCAGCAAUUGCAGGGAGGAGAAGUAUGUUGGCAGAAAUGUGUCUGAGACUGCUGACAGAGUGAAGGGUAGCUGCUCAGAUCAGCCCCUUUAACAGCCUCCCUGAACUGAGCUCUGUGAUUAGCACUGAUACUGAAAACAAGAAGUUCUGCCAGCUUAAGAAAGAACUGGAACAAUGCAAAAGGGCCAUCACAAAUUCUCCUUUUCCUAACUCAAACUCCACUAACUCAAUAAAACAAACAACAUACUGCAUACUUUUCUAAGCUAUUAGAACCUAUAUCUUAAGGAUGACCUGAAGGUAUCCAGGUGGUAGUAGCAACUACCUUAUUGGUUGAAGAGAGUAUGUUUGUAACCUCUGGGGGUGUGAGGAGCGGAUUUUGGGGGGUGCGGGGGGCGGUUGGGGAAAAAUGAACGGGGGAGGGAAUCUGCUUCUCCACCUCAUUGAAACACACGGUGCCAAACCCUCCCCUGUGGAGUUGGAGUGGGCACAGAGUAAUUGGCCCAACUUUGAGGGAGCUGUGGAUCAUAUAAAUUUUCUCCAAGUAAACUUUUAUGGGGGAGGAAAAGGGAGAAAAAAACCAAUCAUUUGUGCAGUUCUAGGAGCUGCUGUUAGUGUUGCUGUAGAAAUCUGUAGCGAACAGCCUGUGGCAGAAAUGAAACUGUUAUUUCAACCUUAAAGAAAGUGGUUACAUACUUGCAAGACCAAUUAGAAGAUACUAGGGGACAGUCAGAAAAAGAGGAACACUUAAAAGCUCUCCUUCAGCCAGUCCUUGGAGAGCGGUUAGUAAAUGAGAGGGAGACUAAUGCUAGUUUUCCAGGUAGAGACUUUCCUCCAGGAGAAAAUUUGGAGGCUGCGAGAGCCUAAAAAGAGAAAUUGGGGAAAACCUGGCGACCCUUCUCUGCCCUCCGAUAGGAACUGGGCACUUGUAUGGAGAGAGCAAAGUUCCCUCUUUUGUUUUCCAGGUGCUAACAAAUGUGGAUCCUGCUGCUGUGCCCACGUAUUACCUUCAUCACCCUGCUGCUUUCUUUGGGAUCCCUGUGGUAUCAUUAUCGUUGCCGUUUCAGACAGGUAUCUUCCUCUUUUUUUGUGUGUGUAAUUGGUUUUGUUGACCCUAUUAUAUUCCACGGCUUGUCACGGUCCCAUGCCCGUAUUGAGCUUAGCGAACGUGUGGGACCGAAGUCUAAUUCUGACAGAGGCUUAACCCUUUUGACUGCAGUUGUGCCCAGUAUUGGAAUAUAUUGAGGAAACAAAUGGGGCCAGGAUAGUACUGGCAGACUCCUGCAGCUCUAAGGAGAUGCUGGCCAAAGACUGAAAAUAGGGUGUCAGAUGUAACAAGCGGUCUACGUGCAUUAUGGCACCCCUGCAGUCUUCCCUGUUAGCACUGUGAACCAAUUGGUGUAUUAUCUGAAUGGGGGAGAGUUAAUGUAAAAGACCAGCAGUUACUGGUAGAUGCUCUUGUCUCAACUUGAAAUAAUAUCUUUAUUGUAGAAUGUAAAGAAAACACUUUUCUUGUUUAAAAUUCAAAGGCGAUUUGGGAGAAUGCAAUCCAGGGUGAAAGAUUAUUUCCAUCUCAGUGGCAUGUAAGUAAUUGUACUUGCGAUCUGGUCAAUAACUUUGCCACAGCUCUUUUUCUAACAAUAUGCAAUGUUUUGUUAUAUGCUGUAUACCUAAUCUUUGUGCGGGGACUGAAGAACAAUGGGGUUAAGCCCUACUCUUUAGAAUGCAGAGUAUGGACCCAACAGAACAGAAUCAAAUGGCAAUCUACUGCCAUUAGUUCACGUGUUGUAUGGGAACAGCGAGGACUUAUUUGUGAGAGUAACACCAUUGAGACUCAGGGCACCUGUCUUGACCUGUUUUGAUUUUGCUAGCAUUAUGGGAUGUGACUUUGCCAUUCCAUUAUGGGAAGUGUUUAGUUCUGAUUACAUCGUAACAGUUGUUUUUCUGCAGAUGUAUGGUAAUCCAAGACUUGCCACCUACCCCAAUUUGAAAGAAUUUCACUUUGGUGAAGAAAUUAUUGCAAUGUGACAAUCUGUACCAACUGCUGGACUGCAUUCAAGCCAUUGCGGGACAGCAAGAACAAGCUUAGCACUGCCGAGUGGUGUGAGAAGGAGGAAUGGCACCUGGUGAGCAGCACGCAUCUGAGGUGUGACAAGGGAAGAUAAUGGCUGACUACUGGGAGCAUAGAUGGUGCUGUUCCUCCUGAUGAAUGGAAAUACUCAGAGCUAUCAUUGCUGCGAUGGACAGGACAGGAUGCUCCUGAUAAUAGAGGUAGUAGGUACUGAAGAGUUCUGAGGAGGAACGGAUAACCCAUUUGCUGAAAUGCAGCUGUGAAAUCAAGGAGAUAUCACUGACCAACCUGCUGCCUCCCUGCAGACCCAGGAGACAUUGCCGGAUUCCCUGGUGAAUGACAAAGCGUCCCAUGUUGGAAAGGCCCCCUGUCUCCUUGCCCUGUGUGGCAUCUGCUGGGACUUCAGCUGCGCUGAGUGGCAACCAAAUGCUUUUUCAACUCUGGCAGCCGUGGGCUGUUGCUGCUGCUGCCUUGGGAAAACUUGUUAUGAUACCUCAGCCCCUCUUUCAGACAAGUUUUUCCUCAGCUCCCAUCUGACCCUCCUCUGACUUAAUGUGAGGCUCUUCCCUCCCGCCCUCUUGCUAGCUCAGGGGAAAAGAAGCUGCAGCCUUCUUUCAGCUAGUUGGAGAGAAGGAGUUUGAGCCCUUCCUCAAAUGCUUUUUGAGCCCUUUAUUUCUUUGUUUUACCCUGUAUUGCCCAGACCUGCAUGCAGCGCUUGCAGCAAGUCUGCAUCGCAAACUGAUCCCUUCCUUCGCUUGGCGGGUAGCGUCCCCAUGUGCCCCAGGGUGCGGUCAGCCUUCCUGGACUACGACUGUAUGCUUCUGGCUUGAAUUUAACCGGCACUCAACUACAGCCCUUGGAUUCCUUCCUCCAGGGCAGCUCUCUGGCCUCGUCCCUGUCUCCAUGUAUAACUGGGGUUGCCUGGUCUCAGGUGCUUGCUUUUGACAAGCUUCAGGUGGUGGGUGAUCAAACAGGUAUCAAGGCAGGGCCUUUCUAUGCCUGACCAGACUGCAGCUCCUUUUGUAUCAUCGGCAAGCAUAAUAAAAACACAUUUGACUCCUGGG